AAAGGUGCAUGAGUGGUGUUUGGUUUGUUACGGGUGGUUGGCUCUUUGCUUGUGCAACAACUUCCACCUGGCAUACCUUUUCAGUCUUGUGUCAAUGCUUGUAUCGCAUUGAAUGCACGGUGGGUUUCUUGUGUUGCAUGCCUAAUUGAUGGUAUCAUUUGAUGAAUUGAUGUCUAUUUCGUCUUGUGUCGCACAUGCGAUGUGAGAUGAACCUUAAAGCAGCCUUUGUGAUCCACUCUUUUGAUGCACACGCAUUGAUUUUGUGGCCCAUUGAGUUUUGCUUGGUCUCAUGGAUAUGGAACCUUGUGUGGGCAUGGGAUCUUUUACUAGUUCCUUGUUUGCCCUAGUUAAGCUUUUCAAAUACGAUUUCCUAUCAUGUC
rnacentral:misc_RNA from 1 species